GGGGGGGACACACUUUUUUUCACUUUGGAAGUGUCUCUCGCGCAAACUAUUCAGUUUAAAAAAAAAAUGAUAUUAGAAACCUCAAUAUCAUUUUUAAAGACCUAUUCAUAGAUACCCCACACGUAUAGAUUUGAUGAAAAAAGAUUUAUUGAGUUUCAGUUCUAAGUAUGGGGAACCCCCAAAAUUUAUUGUUUUUUUUCCUAUUUUCGUGUAAACAUCUUAAUGCGGUUUAUAGAAUACAUCUACUUACCAAGUUUGAACGCUCUUAUAGUUUCGGAAAAAAGUGGCUGUGACAUAAUCGGACAGACAGACGGACAUGACGAAUCUAUAAGGUUUCCGUUUUUUGCCAUUUGGCUACGGAACCCUAAAAAUGUACUCUCCCAUAGAAAAUGUCAAGGUACAGCCAAAAUGUAUCGAACAGUCAAUUUUUUUUCGUGAUUUCGGGGUUGGUCCCAUGGUGAAAGUUGCUCAGUACCUUCAUUCUCGAUAGAUCCAGUCUAUAGAUCCAAACUGGAUCUAGUGAGUAAUGUUUUUCUUGUUAGAUCCAAAUAUUUAUGUUGACAGUUAAAACUGGAUCUAUAGGGAAAAUAAUUUAUAUCAUUAGAUCCAUUAAAUUAUACUAUUAUCAAAAUGGAUCUAAAGAGAUUUUUUUCAUCUCAAUAGAUCCAACAUGCAAUACACACUACCUGUACCUAGUAUGACCUAUAUAUUCACCCCGUAAAUUAUUGCAGGCGACUAAUUAAACACCCUGUAUGUGUGUAGAUAAAGCAGUAACUGUACAUAAUUAGGCAUUAAAACACUUGUUUGAUCCUUUUAUGAAACUCGCUUCGUUUCAUAAACCCACACUCGUGUUUUAAUGGCUCUCAUUAUGUAACAGUCACAUAAACUUCUAUUUUAGUUUGUAUGCUUUCUUUAUUAAUAACGAGCGGUGGCCGAGUGGAUCUGACGUCUGAUUUAAUCCGGAGGUCGCGGGCUCAAAUCCUGGCUCCUAUGUACGGAAUAUCAUUUGAUAUUUACCACUAGCUUUCGGUGAAGGAAAACAUCGUGAAGAAAUCGACAUACAUUCGCGAAGAAAUUCAAAGGUGUAUUUGAAGUCACUAACCCGUAUUGGGUCAGCGUGGGGACUAUAGCCCCAGCCCUCUCGCAUAUGAGGAGGCCUGUGCCCAGCAGUGGGACGUAUAUAGGCUGCAUAUUUUAUUUACCUCUGAACUGAACGUUGAUUACGUACAUGUUAGAUUUAACAACUAUGAAAUUUUCAUUAUACUUAAUUAAUUAAUGUAUUUACAGUACAUAUGGUGCUACUUUACCGCACUAGUGCGAAAAUUUGCAUAUUACGUUACUGUGUCGAACAUUUAAAGGGCCAUAUUAUUAUGUACUGUAAAACGUUGUACAGUCAGCGUCAAAUACUUAGUAGCAGUCAAAGUAGCUAAAUAGUUCGGUACACCAUACUAAAUAUAUGGUGUACCGAACUAUUUGGCUACUUUGGUUGCUACAAAGUAUUUGACGCUGACUGUACGAUACAUGUGCGAAUAGGUAAUUCGCAACUCGUGUCGAUUUAAAACACUCCCUUCGGUCGUGUUUAAUUUAUCGCCACUCGUUUCGAAUUUCCUAUUUUUCGCACUUGUAUCGUAAUAUACUAUUAACUACUAAAUUUUGCAUUUAUAAUGAGAUAGUUCUUACUUAUUUUAUGUCAUGACAGCUGUCUUAUUUUCUUAAAGUAAGGACACUAAGCACAAAGAAUUUCGUACAUUACCUCGUCCGAUACUAUCUCUCACGCGUCAAUGACACCGCGAGCGGACAAAGAGAAAUUGAAAUAGAGUUGGAUUGUCAAAAGAAACUUUGUAUAGGUAAAAAACUUAAGUAAGUCACCUGUUGUAUGUAGUUGUGACGUGUUCGAAUAGACAAUACAUGUUUAAAAGACACACACAAACAAAACAAAUGUCUAUUCGAACACGUCACAACUACAUGCAACAGGUGACUUACUUAAGUUUUUUACCUGUAGCCACAGUUAAUUUACUGCCAUCUUUCGACACAUAAUUAAAACUUUUAGAACGCCAGUUGACUUUGAUCCUUUCUUUCUUCCUAGCGUUGUCCCGGCAUAUUGCCACGGCUCAAGGGAGCCUGGGGUCCGCUUUGACAACUAAUCCCAAGAUUUGGCGUAGGCACUAGUUUUUACGAAAGCGACUGCCAUCUGACCUUCCAACCCAGAGGGUAAAACUAGGCCUUGUUGGGAUUAGUCCGGUUUCCUCACGAUGUUUUCCUUCACCGAAAAGCGACUGGUAAAUAUCAAAUAACAUUUCGUACAUAAGUUCCUAAAAACUCAUUGGUACGAGCCGGGGUUUGAACCCGCGACCUCCGGAUUGCAAGUCGCACGCUCUUACCGCAGAGCCACCAGCGCUUCAAGUUGACUUUGAUCCUAUAAUAUCUAAAAGUGGCGCCAUCUAAAAAAUCAAAGUGCAAAGGUAUGGCGGCGUCGCCACAACCUUAUCCGAUGCCCGGUAAGAUGGCGUCACUUUUUGAUAUUUAACAAAUUUAACCUCCUAACACCCUGAGUACAAAUAUUUGUACAUAUUCCAAAAUCUAUUUUGAACUUUUAUUAUGUAACUAAGGGUUCCAAAUUCAAAAACAAAACAAUUGCUUCUGGGUCUCAGGAGGUUCACAUAUCAGUGAAAUAUUAAGGAUCAAAGUCAAAUAGCGUUCUAAAAGUUUUAAUCAUGUGUCGAAAGAUGGCAGUAAAUUUACGUGGCUACAAUGUUUUCUUUGAUAAUCCACCUCUGUUUUAAAUUCUCUUCAGGCGGGUCAAUGUACAAAAUUCUUCGUGCCUAGUAUAUAGCAAAGAUACAUUGCUUAAGUAAGAUGUGUAAAAUCUAAGACAAUUUCGUGUUUCGAAUUUGACAGGUAAACGAGAUGGCGCUGUACAGCUCCAUACAUUUUGUGGUAACUCUGAUUGUCAAAAAUUGACGUUUGACAAUUCAGUGACCGCAAAACAUAUGGAGCAGUACAGCGCCAUCUGUUUUGGGUUUUGGAUGUCAAAUUAAGAGGCAUGUUUUUUCUUAGAAUUUACCUCUUAAGAGGCUGUCAACACCCAAUGUCCUUGAAAUUGAUGUUACUUAAACAGUUUUUUAGGAAAGACUAUUUGUUUUAGUCAAGUGAGAAAAAUUUAUGUUCAUAUUAAUUAUAUUUCAAAGACCGUGGUUGUACUCGAUACACGAUUGAACGAAAUCGGCUCGAUAGAAAAUAAUUGCAAAGAUUGGUCUUAAAAUCACAAACGGUUUUAUGUCUUUAUUGUUUUGACUUAUGGGUCUGCAAUUAAAAUCACAAUUUCAAAACAUUUAUAUCUAAACCGUGGUCGAGUUAAAUAUUACACUAAUAAUCCACUUUGUUUUAUUUAAAUAAUUUUCUUAUUAUUCCCUUGCCCAGGCCCAGUAACAUGCGACAUCAUUUACUCCGAUACAAAUAGACAGUGUGCGCGCUUUAGGUAUUGACAGCCUCUUAAUCAAUAGGGUUGUUUCCAUCUACAAAUCAUGGGGCAGAAUUGUAUCCCAAUAAAUUCUUUUGGAUUAUAAGAACAUGUUAAACUACUUUUAGGGAACCUGUAAUGACCAUAUUUUUGUAAAUAUUGAAUUUAAAAUAUCUUUUGGCACACGUCACGUGACCAAACUCGAAACGUCAUUGAAGAUUCUGAUGACGUCACAACUCUCGGAUUGACACUAUUGACAGCGAUAAACAACAAAUGACAAAUGUCAUUUGACAGUUCGUAUCUUCUACGUGUGUAUGUAGUUAUGUUUCAAACCGUAAACUGUGACGUCACACAAUUUUCAAAGAGCGUUUUGGGCGCGAAAGCAUCUGUCAAAAUAUAUUUUGUUAAUUUAACAUAUUUAAAGCCGUUUUUAGUAUAAAAGUUGAAUUUUAGGGCAAGUUUUAGUUAAUAUAGAACGUAAUACAAGCGUUUCAAAAAUUUGGAAACAACCCUAUUCUCUUUGGUGUAUAGGAAAAUAGCCUAUAUGUGAUGAAAAAUAGGUACGUUAUAUUUAACUAGACUUAUUAAUUUAAGCAUUUAAGCAUUUUUUGUCCAUUAAUGAUAAGAUUUAUAUUUGAGUCAAUUCUGACUGCUAUGGCUGCUGUAUUUAUUAUCCAAUAAAUUAUUUUGUUUAAUUAAA